rnacentral:rRNA from 1 species
CCUACGGGUGGCAGCAGUGGGGAAUUUUGGACAAUGGGGGCAACCCUGAUCCAGCAAUGCCGCGUGUGUGAAGAAGGCCUGCGGGUUGUAAAGCACUUUAGGUGGGGAGAAAGGCGGCUGUGCUAAUAGUACAGCUGAUUGAUGGUACUCACAGAAUAAGCACCGGCUAACUCUGUGCCAGCAGCCGCGGUAAUACAGAGGGUGCAAGCGUUAAUCGGAAUUACUGGGCGUAAAGCGCAUGUAGGUGGGUGGAUAAGUUUGAUGUGAAAUCCCUGGGCUUAACCUGGGAAUGGCGUUGAAGACUAUUUAGCUAGAGUAUGACAGAGGGUCGUGGAAUUUCCGGUGUAGCGGUGAAAUGCGUAGAGAUCGGAAAGAACACCAGUGGCGAAGGCGUCGACCUGGGUCUAAACUGACACUGAGGUGCGAAAGCGUGGGGAGCA